UACGGAGGGUGCAAGCGUUAUCCGGAUUCACUGGGCUUAAAGGGCGCGCAGGUGGGUUGGUAAGUCAGUGGUGAAAUCCCCGAGCUUAACUUGGGAACUGCCAUUGAUACUAUCAGUCUUGAAUACCGUGGAGGUCAGCGGAAUAUGUCAUGUAGCGGUGAAAUGCUUAGAUAUGACAUAGAACACCAAUUGCGAAGGCAGCUGGCUACUCGGAUAUUGACACUGAGGCACGAAAGCGUGGGGAUCAAACAGG
rnacentral:rRNA from 1 species